rnacentral:rRNA from 1 species
GAUGAACGCUGGCGGCGUGCCUAAUACAUGCAAGUCGAGCGAACGGACGAGAAGCUUGCCUCUCUGAUGUUAGCGGCGGACGGGUGAGUAACACGUGGAUAACCUACCUAUAAGACUGGGAUAACUUCGGGAAACCGGAGCUAAUACCGGAUAAUAUUUUGAACCGCAUGGUUCAAAAGUGAAAGACGGUCUUGCCGUCACUUAUAGAUGGAUCCGCGCUGCAUUAGCUAGUUGGUAAGGUAACGGCUUACCAAGGCAACGAUGCAUAGCCGACCUGAGAGGAUUGUCGCACACACAGGAAAUGAGCCACGGUCCAGACUGCUACAAGAGGCACCAGUAUGGCAUCUUCCGCAAUCAACGAAAGCCUAACGGAACAACGCCGCGGGAGUGAUCGAGGUGUUCUGAUCGUAAUACUCUGUUAUGGGGAAAGAACAUGUAUGUAAGUAACCGUGCGCAGCUUGACGGUACCUAGUCCGAAAGCCGCGGCUAACUUCGUG